ensembl:lncRNA
UGCACACUAAAAUCAAAGUGGUUUCGCUUUCACAAUGAAACAGCGUCUCCACAACAUGGCGCCGACGGCAACAGUGAUAAUAAAAGUUACGCCUUCUUUCUUUGCGUGAACAUUUGGGCGGAGUUAUGCAAAUCUUCCCACAUAGUGACGUAGACAUGUGGGGGUGUGUCAGAACAAGCCGUUUCAGGGCGUGUGGACGAGUCUUAAUUUUUAUAAAGAAUAUCUCUUCGGAUUUGAGACUUUAGACUUUGCAACUUUACAGAUCUACAGAUAUGACCCCUUUAAGACAGGUUGAAAAAUCCUGUCAAAAUGAAUAAACUGAACCACAUAGUCCCUUCUUAAUGCAGUGUGUAAUGCACUUGCCCUACAUUAAAGCACUGAAACUCCCAAAAGCAGUCAAUGUCAAAGUCAUGUUUCACUAAUUUUCUUGACAGUUAAGCAUUCCCCCAAAUCCAUAAUUAUUUUUAACUGUUUCUUAUCUGAUUCCACCUUUCUUUUAGAAACAGAAACGUUUGUGCAGGCCAAUCUGAAGCCGUUCCCCAAGCUCCCGCCUCAGCAUCCAGUAGCUACAGUGCAGAAGAUGCAGGAGCCGUCACAGAAGCAGCCUCCGCAGCCGCUGACAGCUCCAGAAGAGAAGAAGACGCUCAAGAGUGUGGCCAGUCAGAGCGCUCAGGGCGUGUCCACCGUCAUCAUCACCACUCUACUGCUCGUCCCCCUGGUGCUUGUCAUCGCCAUCGGUGUCUGUAUCCGCUGGAAGAGGGGCCGGAUGUACAGUGAUGAUUGUCAGGUGAAGUUGGAGCCUUCAGGAUCAGCAGGAGGAAUCCUGGGUAAAAUCAGAGGUAAGAGAGAGAUCCUCAGGACAGAGACCUACUGUAACGCUCAGCUUUCCAUGCAGUCGUAGCUUUUUCUUUUGGUCGGUUCCUGGAGCGUUUAAACACAACCGUCUUUGGUGUAACCGUACCGCUACAUUCAAAUCAGAUUUCAAGCACAUUUUACUUUGUGUUUCAGAUAUUUUAAUACACAGAAGUACUAGCAGAAAACAUAUAUAGUUUCAAAAAAUGUACAUUUAUGUCUAGAGAAUAACCUUUUAAACAAUUUGACAGUGUUGUAUCCACAUCAAACACACAUUGUGUAGGUCAGUGUUAUUUUAGCCCCAUUGAUUUACUGUUAUAUUUAAAUUUUUUAUAUUUUAUUUUUAUACUUUUUGAUGUCCUUCUAAUUUUAAAGUUUUAGUAAUUUUGUUUUGUCAUUUUUAUUAGUUUAUUUUAUAUAUCUAUAGUUUUUAAUAAAGUUUUAGUUAUUUUAGUACUUAAACUACA